rnacentral:rRNA from 1 species
GAUGAACGCUAGCGGCAGGCUUAAUACAUGCAAGUCGAGGGGCAGCAUGAAGUAGCAAUACUUUGAUGGCGACCGGCAAACGGGUGCGGAACACGUACACAACCUUCCUUUAAGUGGGGAAUAGCCCAGAGAAAUUUGGAUUAAUCCCCCGUAACACAACGAAGUGGCAUCACUUUGUUGUUAUAGUUUCGGCGCUUAAUGAUGGGUGUGCGUAUGAUUAGAUAGUUGGCGAGGUAACGGCUCACCAAGUCUACGAUCAUUAGCUGAUGUGAGAGCAUGAUCAGCCACACGGGCACUGGGACACGGGCCCGACUCCUACGGGAGGCAGCAGUAAGGAAUAUUGGACAAUGGAAUCAAGUCUGAACCAGCCAUGCCGCGUGAAGGAUUAAGGUCCUCUGGAUUGUAAACUUCUUUUAUAUGAGACGAAAAAAGGUCUUUCUAGACCCCUUGACGGUACCAUAUGAAUAAGCACCGGCUAACUCCGUG